rnacentral:rRNA from 1 species
CACCGCGGUUAUACGGAUGACUCAAAUUGAUAUUUAUCGGCGUAAAGCGUGAUUAGAGAAAACAGAAUACUAAAGAAGAACGGCCUCCCCGCUGUAUUAAGCUUAAGAUAGCCUGAAAAACAUAACGAAAGUAACUUUAAACAUUACUUGAAUUCACGACCGUAAAGAAA